rnacentral:tRNA from 1 species
GAGGUUGUGGCUCAGUGGUAGAGCACUUGCCUUGCAUGUGUGAGGCACUGGGUUCAACCCUCAGCACCACA